rnacentral:rRNA from 1 species
UACGUAGGGUGCAAGCGUUGUCCGGAAUUAUUGGGCGUAAAGAGCUCGUAGGCGGACUCUUAAGUCGGUGGUGAAAUCCUGGAGCUCAACUCCAGAACUGCCUUCGAUACUGGGAGUCUCGAGUCCGAGAGAGGUGAGUGGAACUGCGAGUGUAGAGGUGAAAUUCGUAGAUAUUCGCAAGAACACCAGUGGCGAAGGCGGCUCACUGGCUCGGUACUGACGCUGAGGUGCGAAAGCGUGGGGAGCAAACAGG